AAGAAACACUGGAAGUUUCUUUUAGCCUCGUUUGAACCGGGACAGCAACCUUAAGGCCGGGAAAACGGAGACUGGCCACUUUUUGGGGGUGGAUGUUGCGUGAAGGUCUGUCUGUGGAAAUGAAAUAGUAGUUUGUCUGGAGGGCAGAGCAACUUUUUGUCGAGGAUGAUGCACCAGCUCCCCUAAAAAAGUUGAGCCCAUGCGGACGGUGGUUCCUUUGUUCGAGAGAGUGGACUGAGGCAGCCAGGAGCUGAAUGGAGGAAGAAGAGAGUUAGACUAUCUGGUUCCCAAAUCGCUUCUCUUUGGCUCAGGGCGUUUGAUUGAACGCUUCACUGUGUGAUUUCGGUUAAAUGCGUGUAUUGCUUGGGGGAAAAAAACGCGAGGAUCCGCGCGCACUGGGUUGCUUUGGGGAUUUUACGCACCAAGAACGAACUUCACCUGGAACGUAAAACAUUUCCAAAGUCGUUUUCUGUUAAGUGUAGCCUUCAGAGUGAGGACCGAGGGAGCAACAGAAAAGGAAAGCACAUCUUUUAUUUCUCACUCCAUUCCGUGGAUGCACAUUAUCGUUGAGGAAGCGUGGUGAGAUGAUAUCACCAGUGGUGGAGUAAUUACUACCCAUAAAUCAAGUGUGAAGUGUGAAGAGUAGCAGUGGCAUGGUCUGCGUGCUGGUGUUGGCAGCUGUAUUGUCUGGAAGUUACUCAUCCACCUUUGCUUCCUCUGCUGGAAAGGGCAUGACUUUUCACUGUGUGAGCUCCAGACGCAACAGAGAGACGGAGCUGCUGCUGAUCGCUCACGACUUCCUCUGCAUUGUUUUACUCUGUGACUGGAUACCGGCACUGAUAGAUGGAUGAUAGUCUCUUCUGGUUGGUGUUCUCAUUACAUGUGAACGUGUCAGUGAGUGUGUUUGUUUUCUGAUACAUUCAGGUCAAAAAUGUCCUGACUUGGCGAUGUAUAAUAUACAGAGAGGAAGAGAGAGAAAAAAGAGAGAGAAAUGUUGUUCGAUACGUUGAUGUGUAUGUAUACAUGAUACAUA